GACGGUAUCACUCAGUGGUAGAGAGCAUGCUUAGGAUGCAAGAAGUCUUGGGUUCAAUCCCCAGUACCUUCA
rnacentral:tRNA from 1 species